rnacentral:rRNA from 1 species
AAUCAACGCUGGCGGCGUGCCUCAGACAUGCAAGUCGAACGAUUAAACUUCCCUUCGGGGAAGAUAUAAAGUGGCGCACGGGUGAGUAACACGUAGGUAAUGUACCUUUGGGUGGGGAAUAACUUAGGGAAACUUAAGCUAAUACCGCAUAAUGCAGCGGCUCCUUCGGGAGACAGUUGUUAAAGAUUUAUCGCCUAAAGAGCAGCCUGCGGCAGAUUAGCUAGUUGGUAAGGUAACGGCUUACCAAGGCUACGAUCUGUAUCCGACCUGAGAGGGUGGUCGGAAACACUGACACUGAAUAACGGGUCAGACUCCUACGGGAGGCAGCAGUCGGGAAUUUUGGGCAAUGGGCGAAAGCCUGACCCAGCAACGCCGCGUGAAGGAUGAAGUCUUUCGGGAUGUAAACUUCGUAAGAAUAGGAAGAAUAAAUGACGGUACUAUUUGUAAGGUCUGGCUAACUACGUG